rnacentral:rRNA from 1 species
ACUCAAAUGAAUAGACGGGGGCCCGCACAAGCGGUGGAGCAUGUGGUUCAAUUCGACGCAACGCGAAGAACCUUACCGGGGUUUGAACUGCACGGGACAGCCUCAGAGAUGAGGUCUUCCUUCGGGACUCGUGCAGAGGUGCUGCAUGGCUGUCGUCAGCUCGUGUCGUGAGAUGUUGGGUUAAGUCCCGCAACGAGCGCAACCCUCGCCUCCUGUUGCCAUCAGGUCAAGCUGGGCACUCUGGAGGUACUGCCGGCGAUAAGCCGGAGGAAGGUGGGGAUGACGUCAAGUCCUCAUGGCCUUUAUGCCCCGGGCUACACACGUGCUACAAUGGCUGGUACAAAGGGUUGCAAAACCGCGAGGUGGAGCUAAUCCCAAAAAACCAGUCCCAGUUCGGAUUGCAGUCUGCAACUCGACUGCAUGAAGUUGGAAUCGCUAGUAAUCGCGGAUCAGCACGCCGCGGUGAAUACGUUCCCGGGCCUUGCACACACCGCCCGU